CUAUUUGGCUUUGUAAGCUUUUGCUUCAGAUCUUGUUUGCGCCUUAGACUCAAGGUUUUCCUCGGUGACUGUCCGUACUUUCUCCGCCCCAAGAAUUCGGUCGAUUGGUGUGGAAUGGGUGCAGGCUGACAGGCUGAGCAAUGGCGGAUGGCUGCCGAGAGCCCGAGACCGCCGGACAGCGGAGCAAGCAUCGGUUCUGAUUCUCUCCGAUUCGAUGAUGUUUUAUUUUCCAGAAUUAGAAUGCUUUAUUGUCUCUUGUCUAGAAACACAAGCAAAUUCUGAAAGGCCCUGAGAAGUGAGGAGGCGAUGUCCAGAUCCGAUUUUCAAUCCGCAUCUUUGUGCUAAUUGGUCUGAUCCUAUGUAGUGAAAAUAUCAUUCGGUCGAGUGCCCUUUGUUUAUUGAUUAAUUGUACAGACAGUUUAGGAAUUCACCCCAUCAAUUUGGUUUGGUGCUUCAGGAUCAUGUAAUGCCAAUGCAAUGAUGCAAACAUCUGUGAAAGUAAAUUCGGUCUGUACAAACAAUAUGACCGAAUUUUUUCUUGAA